rnacentral:tRNA from 1 species
GCGGUCGUGGCGGAAUUGGUAGACGCGCUAGUUUCAGGAGCUAGUAGUUCACAGCUGUGUGAGUUCGACUCUCAUCGACCGCACCA